rnacentral:rRNA from 1 species
CCUACGGGUGACUGCAGUGAGGAAUAUUGGUCAAUGGACGCAAGUCUGAACCAGCCAUGCCGCGUGCAGGAAGACGGCUCUAUGAGUUGUAAACUGCUUUUGUACGAGGGUAAACGGAGAUACGCGUAUCUGUCUGAAAGUAUCGUACGAAUAAGGAUCGGCUAACUCCGUGCCAGCAGCCGCGGUAAUACGGAGGAUUCAAGCGUUAUCCGGAUUGAUUGGGUUUAAAGGGUGCGUAGGUGGUCGGAUAAGUUAGAGGUGAAAUCCCGAGGCUCAACUUCGGAAUUGCAUCUGAUAAUGUUCGGCUAGAGAAUAGUUGCGGUAGGCGGAAUGUAUGGUGUAGCGGUGAAAUGCUUAGAGAUCACGCAGAACCCCGAUUGCGAAGGCAGCAUACCGGUGCACAACUGACGCUCAGGCACGAAAGCGUGGGUAUCGAACAGGAUUAGAUACCCUGGUAGUC